rnacentral:lncRNA from 1 species
AUUUUUUUUUUUUAUCCUUAACUGAAAUUUGUAAUUUCUUUUUAAUUUUUUUUUUCUUUUGUUAGUUCACUUUAUUUUUUUCUCUACAGAUUUACCCACAUCUACUCUGACUGUGACUCCAGACAGUCCUGUAUUCACUGGAGAGACGGUCAAUCUGACGUGUGUGAUAAACUCUAAUCACAGUGACUGGAGAUAUGAGUGGUAUAAAGGUACAAACAACAGUGUAAUGUUACAAACGUCUGAGCGUUACACCAUAGACAGAGACACUCUCACUAUCAGAGGAGUGAAUGAGUCUGAUCAGGAUCAGUUCUGGUGUAGAGGACAGAGAGAUGGACGACCAAACUCAUCACAGGAGAGUGAACGAAUAAAUCUGUCUGUUAAUGCGUCACGUUCAGCUCAGAUUUCUGUCUUCAACAUCCUCAGUUUUCUUCUGGCAGCUUGUCCGUAUCUGCUGGCGACAGUCGUGCUGCUUUUCAAAUGCUGCAGAGCGAGAGGUAACACUUCUGUCUGAUCCGUCUCUCUCACUCACAAUGUCUUUUUCCCCAAAAAAUUUCACAUUUAGACAAACAUAGUACUACUGAAGACCAAAGCCAGUACGUGGUAACAGAGGAAUAAUCAUCUCUUCUCCAAACCUCAGAGUCACAGGAUGCUGGAGUCUCAGGCUGAAGGCUGGGAAACACACUGGACACGAGCAGUCCAUCACAAGACUAACACACACACAUUCACACUCUCACUCAAUCCAGUGUCUCUGAUUCACCUGCGCUGUAGAUUAGAUUGUGAGAGAAACCAAACCAACACACGGAGAACAAGAUAACUCCACACAGAAAGACCUCCUGCUCAUCAUCAUCUCCAAAACCAGUUUCUUAAUGUGUGUCAGAUUCACUGUAAGCUACUGAAAGCUGCCCUUUCUGUCGUCGGAGUAAAGGAGUUUAAGUGUAAUUCUAAAAAUGUCCCUUUGUUGUUAAAUCUUUACUGAAUUUUGAAGUAAAAGUAACUUUUAUAGUGUUAGUAAUAUUUCAAGUCAAACACUUACUGGACUGAAGCAACUUAUGUUUACCUGAUUAUCCAAACAACUGUAUUUGUUCUUCUCUCAAUUAUCAUUGUAUUGUAUUAUAUUUUCAACAAACAAAUUAUUUAAAUAUCAUUCAUGUAAAUAUUCUGUUAUUCUGUUCUAAAGAUUAUCAGCUAUCAGAAUUAUAGCUCCAUAUAACUAUCAUCUGCACCAAAUUGCAUAUUUUUGUUCAGUUUGGGCCUUGGAGUAAAUUUUUUAUUUUUUUUCCCUAAAUUUGAGCUCCUUAUUUUAACAAAUAAGCUGUAAAAGUAUGUAUUAAAAAUAAAAAAAGAAGAAAAAACAUGAAACCUUUCUUUAUUUUUGUUUUUCAAAAUCAGCAAUAAACUAUCAUAUAAAAAAAGUGAUUUAUCCAAGUAUAAUCUCAUAAUUUUAGGCAUAACAGUUAAAUGUGUUACCCUUCACUAAAAAAUAAAGAUAAAAACAUUGAACUUGUUCUAGCAUGACUGUAAAUGUGCAUGAUCUGAAGAAAUAGAAAACAUCACAUUAUGAAUGAACAGUUAUAGAAAUGUAAUGUCAUUAUGAAACCUAUAACCUAAACUAUAACAUGAAUAUCUUUAUUAUUUCUGUCUCAAAGUCACGAGAGUUUCUUCUACUAUAAAACAGAGCUGGAUUGUGCAGAAAGAAAACAGUAUUCAGAAUAAACUAGAACAUGAAGACUGGAGUAAAUAGACUGUGGAAUAUGCUUCUUGGGCGCGGACUUUCGCUGCUUCAG